rnacentral:rRNA from 1 species
UACGUAGGGUGCAAGCGUUGUCCGGAAUUAUUGGGCGUAAAGAGCUCGUAGGCGGUUUGUUGCGUCGGCUGUGAAAUCCCGAGGCUCAACCUCGGGUCUGCAGUCGAUACGAGCAAACUAGAGUGUUGCAGGGGAGACUGGAAUUCCUGGUGAUAGCGGUGAAAUGCGCAGAUAUCAGGAGGAACACCGGUGGCGAAGGCGGUUCUCUGGGCAUUACCUGACGCUGAGGAGCGAAAGUGUGGGGAGCGAACAGG